rnacentral:rRNA from 1 species
UACAGAGAGUGCGAGCGUUAAUCGGAAUUACUGGGCGUAAAGCGCGUGUAGGUGGAUAUUUAAGUCGAAUGUGAAAGCCCUGGGCUCAACCUAGGAACGGCAUCCGAUACUGAAUGUCUAGAGUACAGUAGAGGGAAGUGGAAUUUCCGGUGUAGCGGUGAAAUGCGUAGAUAUCGGAAAGAACAUCAGUUGCGAAGGCGGCUUCCUGGACUGAUACUGACACUGAGGCGCGAAAGCGUGGGGAGCAAACAGG